rnacentral:piRNA from 1 species
AAAGAAAUGGGACAAGCAGUGGA